GGCGGCGUAGCUCAGUUGGCAGAGCAAGGGAAUCAUAAUCCUUUGGUCGGGGGUUCGAGUCCCUCCGCCGCUA
rnacentral:tRNA from 2 species